UUGAUUUUCUUUGUUGAAAAUUCGUCAACGGCCCGGUUUCCACCGAAUCGAUAUUAGUUUGAUUUUUCCGCCUUCAUCUUCUCCAUCGCUGUGCCGCCACUUGCUCAACACGCCGCCGCUGUGAACACCCUGCCAGCUUCACGUCUUUCUCUGAAGAGAUGAAUUGGGUUCAACGCAAGAUUUAUCUUUACAACGUCACCUUCGGUCUCUACAUGCUCGAUUGGUGGGAGCGCUAUCUUUUCAAUACACUUGUUGUUGUGCUGAUGUGGUUUAUCUUCUACAACACUUCGAGAUACGUGACUGAUUUCUGCAAAAGGCACCUGCAUUGACGUAUAGCUUCUGUCAUCGGAUACUAGUGUGCAUUACCAUGUGGAUUAACGUCUGAGUCGUGUUUUAGCAGCAGACAACUGAAAAUGUGCUCAAGCAAUUCAAAUGUAUGUACUUUCUCAUUUCUAGACUUCAAAAGAUCAAUCCGUCUUAUGUCCUCUUGACCCCACUAAAGAAAUUAUGCAUUUGUAAUGAUGUAAAAGGUCAGAUUCACUGAUUCUGCAUGGCCAUUUAAGUUUCAGUCUUUGUCUUUGAAUGAACUUUAAAGCUAAAAGUUUUUUCAGUCA